UACGUAGGGUGCAAGCGUUAUCCGGAAUCAUUGGGCGUAAAGCGUGCGUAGGCGGUUUGGCAAGUCUGAGGUUAAAUCUGAUCGCUUAACGAUCAAAACGUCUCAGAAACUAUCAAGCUAGAGAGUGAUAGAGGCAACUAGAAUUCUACAUGUAGGGGUAAAAUCCGUUGAUAUGUAGAGGAAUACCAAAAGCGAAGGCAGGUUGCUGGGUCAUUUCUGACGCUGUUGCACGAAAGCGUGGGGAG
rnacentral:rRNA from 1 species